CCCUUAGAUGUUCUGGGCCGCACGCGCGCUACACUGACGAAUGCAACGAGCUUAUAACCUUGGCCGAAAGGUCUGGGUAAUCUCCAAAUUUCGUCGUGAUGGGGAUAGAUUAUUGCAAUUAUUAAUCUUCAACGAGGAAUGCCUAGUAAGCGCAAGUCAUCAGCUUGCGUUGAUUACGUCCCUGCCCUUUGUACACACCGCCCGUCGCUCCUACCGAUUGAACGGUCCGGUGAAGCGUUCGGACCGUGGCCUUUGGACGGUUCGCCGUCUGUUGGCUGCGGGAAGUUCGUUAAACCUUAUCAUUUAGAGGAAGGAGAANUCGUANCA
rnacentral:rRNA from 1 species